rnacentral:lncRNA from 1 species
UUCUCGAGAGCUGUCCAAACUGCAAAACAACACGAACACACACAUCAAAACGUUCAAAAAUGCCCAAGAACACAUCAAAAAACAUGAUUUAAAAGUUUUAGUUUAAUGAGUGAAUUACACUCAUCAAACACCCCCAAUCUUAGUUCUUUGCUUGUCCUCAAGCAAACACAAAACUAGAGAUAAUUAUUAACGAACAAAAAAGCACGACUAAGACAGACAAAGUCACUCAAAAGAAACUUUAUGUUAGACACCUUGCAUUUAUAGGUCAAGAUUAAAAACACAGCGUCAAAUUCAUGAAGUACUUCAAAACUAUAAUGCACGCAUCAAAUCCUCGCUCAUUCAAUGCAAACGGGUGUGUGUGUAGAGAGUUAAGCAUAACGCUGUACAAUAAUAAAUUGACCCAGUUUUCGACCUUAAAAGUCAAAUAUUUCCUUGCUUCGCUCGUGGGAUUCACACACCCCUAAACUUGUUUUCUUUUCUCUUUCCAAUGUGUAUUUUAAAGUUGAUUUUUUUUCAAUGCUAGUUUCUUACACCGCUCAAGUUUGGUUAGAUUUCACUAUUGCAGUUCAACCUAUCAACAGAUGAGGAUUCUUCUUAUUUUUGACUGCUUCAAUCUCUAGGAAUCAACCAAGUUACUAACCUCUCUCAAAGGUUUAAUCCUCUAAAACAAGUGUUCGGGGCUUAAUCAAAAUAUGUGAUAUAUAAUUUUUUUUUUUUAAUAUAUGUAUUCUUUAAACACCCUUUGUGUGGAGCUAUCUAAAUCCUUGUAACAAGUUUUAGGUCGAUAACUCCCAAAUCAGACAACUUUAGGGCACCAGGUUUUAAACCCUUACAGGCUUAAUCACUCGAGUCAUAAAAGCUACAAAGAAACGAUUCACAAUGAGAUUAUUAAAGUUGUCCUCAUUGGGAUCUUUUUUUAUGUAAUGAUUAGUGCAAUGCCCCUUAUUAAACAUCUAUUCUCGAAAAUCGACCUCUAACUUAAAAUUUUUCACCCAAUUUUCAUCCUUUUAGUCUAAGACAAUCCACACAAAAUUUAACACACAUGGAAUCCACAUUUAUCUCCAAGUUUUUCUGCAACAGCUUAACCUACCAAACAGCCUAUAUUUGGUUUAAGGGUAUAAUAAUGUUUAAAGGUUGUUUGGGUUUAGCAUCUAAGUUCUCUUAUUCAACCUGUAAACAUGGAUCAACCUACUCAUGUACAACGCUACAAUCAACUCACAUGCACAAAUAAUUUUCGUUUCGCACAAAUAAUUUUCGUUUCACACGAAUAAGCAAAAAUCUAACUCACACAUAUAACUUAUCUAUAAUCCAUGAACCAACACAUGUUCUUAAAAUUAUACAUCAUCGCCGACAAUACUAUCUAACUCACACAAGCAUGCAAAACACGAAAUGAAUUUAUUUUUUUUAUUUGACAAUGCACACAAAUAAAAAUUAAAUAAAUAAAUAAUAAAAAAGCAAACAAAUAAUUUAAAAAAACACAAAUCAAAAAAAUUUUUUUGCCUCCUUCAAAUUGUAUGGUUGAAUCCUUCAAUCUUGCCCCCUUCCAUCCUUCUUCAAAAUAGGGUUUUUCAAAUGGUAUUUAUAAUAUCUUGAAGUUAUUGGACGAAUUAGGGUUGAGUUGGGCCAAAAAAAGAUUCCAAAAAUAUAAAAUCCUAUUUUUCCGCACAGGCGGCGCCACAGCACCACGUUCACUAUCGUUUUCAGUAUCUUGGGUGCCACGGCGCCCACUUCGAGUGAAAAAUGCAGUUUUUGCCUCCUUUAGUAUUUUUGUCAUAACUUCUCCAUCCGAUAUUCGAUUGAGAUGAUUCAAGAUGCGUUGGAAAGGUAACUCAAAGGGCUAUAACUUUUCUUCAAACAUCAUUUCCCAAUUCAAUCGUUUGCUAUGUCGGAAAUAGGUCUCAAUGUGAGACCAAAACUCCGGCGCGUAACUUUUCGGUUGGAAAAUGAUUUGUGAUCAUAUUUUGACUAAAUUUGAUCCCUUUGACACCUUCCUUCAUCCAAUUGACUCUUAGCGCUCUCGGAUCUUCAUCGUGAGUUUCAACACGACUUUUGAUUAAUUGCAUUUUAAUCCUCGAACUUUGGAUCUCUUACAUUUUGGUCAUGUCAUCCAAUUUCGCUAACUUUCGCCUAUUUUCUUCCUUUGGCCUCUUUUAGAUCUUGUUUUCUCCACUUCGAUCAAUAUAUAAAACAACACCAAAAUCACUUGUUAGCACUUCUAAAAUACUCUCUAAAAUAGCAAAAUCAUGAAAUUAAUGGCAUAAUAUAAUGAGCGUAAAUCACUCAUCACAUGCAUUAUGAAAGUCUAUAACAUACACAUUUCAAACAUGUUAUAAUGAUUGAAAACAUGUUUGUAAACAAAAGAGUACAUACACUUAGAAAAGUAACAUGAAGUUAAAAAAAGUGACACAUAGUCAAAAAAGUGACAAAAACUAUAAAAAAAAAAAAAAAAAAAAAAGUGACAUAUAGUGCACUGCCAAUGGACAAAAAAGAAUUUAAUGCAUUCAGAUGAUUGAAACCAUGUUUGUAACUGAAAGAGUGCAUACACUUGGAAAAGUGACAUAAAAUAAAAAAAGUGACAAACUAAAAAAAAAAAAAAAAGGAAAAAAAAAAAUGACAAAAAAAAAAAAAAAAAAAAAAGUGACACAUAGUGCAAUGCCAAUGGACUAUAAGCUGGACAAAAAAGAAUUUAAUGCACUCAAAUGAUUGAAAACAUGUUUGUAACUAAAAAAGUGCACACACUUGAAAAAGUGACCCAAAAAAAAAGUGACAUAUAGUGCACUAUCAAUGGACUAUAAGCUGGACAAAAAAUAAUUUAAUGCACUCAAAUGAUUGAAAACAUGAUUGUAACUGAAAGAGUGCAUACACUUUAAAAAGUGACAUAAAAUAAAAAAUAAAAAGUGACACAGAGUUAAAAAAAAAAGUGAAAGAGAAUAAAAAAAGUGACAAAAACUUAAAAAAAAAGUGACAUAAAACAGUGACAAAUAUACAGUGCCAAUGGACUAUAAGCUGGACUCUCUCCCUAAAAACAUGGAUUAGGUGACCGACAAAGACCAAAUAGGUUAUGAUUAUUUUCUUUGAAUUUUCACCAGAAAUAUAGUGCUAAUAUAUAACCAUGUAACAUGCUAACAAUAACAAAAAAACAUGUUUGUAGUUCACAUCAACUAAUAGAGUGCAUAUACUAAAAAAAUGACAAUAAAUAAAAAAAGUGACACAAAUUAUAAAAAAUAUGACACAGAAUCCAAAAAGUGACACUAACUAUAAAAAAGGUGACAAAAAAUCAAAAAAAAUGACAAAACCAUCACAAAGAUGCUUCCUCAUCAAAACACAGCAAUGAGACUCCACAGUAACUAGCCUCUGUAUUCUUUCACAACAAUACAAACGUAUGACAAACUUUAUAGGAUCAUUGUAUCUAACUAUAUACACCCGUAUUUUCCAUCCAAACUUUAUUUAUACUUUCAAAAGUCAUCAAUAUAACUACAUUUAUAAUUCUAGUAACAUAUCCUCUAUUGAAUAUAAAGAAAAACCAUUAGUAGCUAAUCUGUCUUACUGUGAACAAGUAGCUAAGCAAUCUUGAGCAAUCAACGAUUCUUUGAAUAUAGUGCUAAACUAGUGACACAAAUUAUAAAAAAUGUGACAUAAAGUCGAAAAAGUGACAUAGAGCCCAAAAAGUGACACAAACUAUAAAAAAGAUGACAUAAAACAAAAAAAAAGUGACAAAAUCACCACAAAUAUGCUUCAUCAUCAAAACACAGCAACAAGACUCCACGGUAAAUACAUGAAUGUCAUUAUGAUGAGAAAGUUAUAUCAAUAUACUAACAUUUAUUGAAAUUCCCAAAACUUAAGAACAAAGGUUGUACUCUGUGGUCAUCAUACAAUCACAUGACCCACUACAUCAUUAGACAAUUGUAUCAUACACAUUCCACCAUAGCUUCUAGACCCACCAAUCUUAUGUUGUCUUCCACAAUCUCCCCAUGUCCACUCUAAUCUCAACAAUCCAAUAAUCCCAAAAUCCUAUAUGAACUAUUCAAUAUAAUUCCCCAUUUUCUCUUAGAAACAAAAUCAAGGACCACAAAAUAAUGCUUCUAAAUUCUAUGAAACUUUGGUUCGUGCAGUGUUUUGGAAUGUUGUAUACAUAUUUCAUUUUAUACAAAACAAAAGGCAUGGAACAAAACUAAAAAAGUCACAUAUGAAACAUCAAAACCAGUAAAAUAUCAAAAUGGGAAAGGAACGAAGAAUAAAAUGUACACAUAAGAGCGGAAGCUAAAAAAAUUAAUGCUACCUCGGGUUUAUAAGAUUUCUUCUUCUUCGAAGAUGGUUCUUCAUCAAUAUCUCUUUUCCUCUUCAACCUACUUUCUCUAACCAUUACAGAAAUAAGGGUCGAAUUUUCGUAUCAAAGUCGGCGUCGGAGUGAAUAAGUCGAAAUUGGACUCAGAUUACAUUUUGAUCGGAACGAGUUAGGGUUUCGACUAUUUGGGAUUUUUAGGAUUGGUAUCUAAGAUCUCCACAAAAUGAGAAUCAAAAUGACUGAAAAUUGAACGUGCAUUAAGGAAUACAACAAUCGAACUUCGAGGUCUUUCGAUUGUGGGGCAAAAUCGAUUUGGGGACAAGGUUUACAAAAUUUUGGGGUCGAAAUGAAAAUGAGAAAAUGAAGACGUAAAAAGGGGAGACGAAGGAGAAAUCAACAAAAAAUGGGUCAAAAUGGAGAUUUAGAGUCGUAUUUUUUGCUCGGAGAAGAGAUCAACGGAAGGUGCUUGGUGAAUUUUGCAAGCUGACAAUUUCUACGAAUGAGGAAUAUGGAGAGUUAGGUUUAGGUUUGGGUUUGCUGUAGUUAACUGAGCUGGCUUUUGGUUAGAAUUUAGGACAUAAUUAGUACUUUCUUAAAAUGUUUAAUUAAUUGAAGGGUAUUAAUCAGAACACUUAGAAAAAGAGGGCAUAGGGCCUAAUUUCCUCAAAAUAAUAUGGGCUGCCACCCACUACCUCCAUCUCUGAACGCAAGAACAGUAUGAACUUUGCCUUUACUAUAAGGGUUUUCUUUUUUCUUUUUUUCUUUGGAUAAGAUUAAAUGAAUAAAUAUAUAAUUCCCUUAAUUGGUCAUAGUUAGAAAUUCCCUUAAUUGGUCAUAAUUUGAAAGUAAGUUUUUACUUGGAAGUAAGGAAAAGGCAACGAAUCCAAAAAAAAAUUUGUUAAUUUAAGUAAACUUCUACUUUUUCUGGACAUGCUCUCUAUGAAAAUCCAUAAGUGAGAUAAGGGAUACAGAAGAUUGAUUAAAAGCAAUGAGUUCUAUCUUGACCCAAUGUAGAAAAUAAACAAUUGGCCAGGUUUCACCAAAUACCUGUAAGUUAAAUUUUUUUAAAGGGAAAGAUUACGGUGACAGGUAUCUGAUUCCUCAUCAAUUCCAUAAUUCCUGCCUACAUAAUAGAAUACCCAAAUGGUAUAAAUCAGAUAUAAUUUAAUAAGAAUAAGAAGUUAGGGUGCGUUUGAUUACAAGUAGGAAAAUUACAUGGAAAGAAAAUGAAUUCCAGGGAAUUGAAUUACCUAGAAAUUGUUUUCAUGGAAAUUGUAAAUUAUUGUGUUUGAUUGUAUAAAUUUUUCAUGUGGAAAAUGUUGAAGUAAAAGUAUUUUUUGAUGUUCGUUUGACUUUGUUUUACGUGAAAAUUGUCAAUUUCAGGGAUAUCCUCUUUUACAAUUAUUCCUAAAAUUUGUUCCCAUUGCCAACAAUUAAAAAAAAUAAAAAAAGCAAAAAAAAUAAAAUAAAAAUAAGGUGGAAAACCAAAAACCACCUAUCCCCUAGGAAAAAAAAGGUGGAAAAUCAUUCUUUAAGGUGUUGUACCUAGAAAUUCAUGGAAAAUCAAUUCCCUGGAAAAUUUUGUCAAUCAAACAGGCCAAAAGUGGAAGUUGGAAUUCGAAUUCCAAGUUCCAUGAAAAAUUUCGUGUAAUCAAACGGGGCCUUACAGAAAUGGAAAUGGAAAUGGAGAUAAGUCAAAUUCACGCUUACCAGUUUCUUCCGCAAUUCUUGGUUUUCUUCCUUCAGUUUUGCAACUUCUGCUUUCAACUCCAUAGUAGAGUAUGCCCGGAAAACACUAAAUAAAAAAUGGUUUAAUGGAAGUUAAUAUGCGUUGUAAACAAUAACAUAAUUGACCGAUUAAUUAAAAUUUACGACAAGAAUCGUGUUAACAUUGUGUAACAAUAGCAGGAGUAAAACAAAUUAUUAUUGUUUCGUAAAGCACAUACUAUAUUAUCUUGUAGCAAAUGGAAGCUUUAAACUUCUCAGGACGUGAAUUCAUCUGUUUGACACAUUAGAUUGCCAUAUGCAACAUGAUAAAAGCAUAAUGUCAGUGAUAAUCAAAAUCCUUAAAGGGAUAAGUAGAUGAAAGUUAACCUGUCGAUUUACUUAUUUUCUUAACUUUUUCUCUGAAAUUAGAUUUAUCUGAUAUCUUUCUCAAUAAGCAGCAGUCUUGCAUGUGUCCAAUUUUUAUUCUAAGUUUCAUGGAAACAACAAAUUUUUUCAGAGUCUGGAAGCUUCAAUUACCUCCACAUAAUUAGAGAGAUGGCAAAUUUCUAAGAAUGGAUUUUCCGAGCAUUUGAUUAGAUUUUCCGUUAAACAUUGUAUUUACGAUUCAUAAGUCCACUAUUUUGACACGUGAUAAUGAAAAUAGUCACAUACAUGCCAUAAAAAAUUUGAAAAUAUAAACAAAAACUUUGAGAUAUUUACCUACUUUCAAUCCCUUAAUCUUGUAACUGACUCUCUGUUUUUUAUCAUUUUCUUUUGAUUCCUUUCUACAUCCUUCUCCAAAGCACGAUUUCUCCUAAAAAUAUACGAUACCACUCCCAUCCUUCCUGACACCAGACUCUUUUGAUAUAUCCUUCAAAACCUAAUCAACUGUCUUCUGACUCAAUGUACAUGGCAGUGUGAACGAUCCCUGCCUCUGUAGAUUGCCACCCCAUUCUUGGCUUCGCCCCCCACUGCCUCCAUUAUUGGAUCCCAUAGUUUUCUGCACUCCAAAUAUUUUUUAGCAAGUCGUCCUUGUUCAUUGACCUAACUUUACAAAAUUUCCCAUGUUGCUCUGAAACUCAUCAAAUGUCAAUGAAUAUAUUGAUGGUUGUCAGCAAUUUGAAAUUGUUUGGUUAACUAGCAACAUAGUUCAUUAUUACCUUUGUAUGCUCUUUUAAAAGUCUCUCCAAUCAAUAUUGUUACGCUCCUAUCUGAACCACUUCGAAAAGUCUAUCAUCACGUUAUACGAGGUGUUCAACACUCAUUCGAAGUGGUUCCGAAGUGACGCCACCACCAAUGUUGUCAAUCUGCUAACGCACUGCGAGGCACAAACAAUCUAUUGAACCGACCGAAGCGUCCUCGCCCCUGAAGCCGAGGCGCACUACAUUCCGAGGCUCUUUGUCAGAGAAUCCACCGUCAAUUUCAAAAAGAAAUCUAUGUCAAGAUCGUUUCUGCCCCCAAGGUUUAAUUGAUUUGACGUCUCCAUGAGCCUAGUUGAUGUGACGUAUCAACUUUAUGUCAACUCAACUCGGGAGAAGUAAUUACCCGCCCAUUCUAUAGACGCAACUGAUUGACGCCUAUGAGCAAACGCCUCACACUGUCAGAUGCAUACACGUUUCCCACAUCCAACUGUUCUCAUCACCUAUAAAUACCCAAAGUUUAACAAGAGGCAAAGGUAAUGAAACUCUUACAACAUAGGUUUCCAUAACAAGCAAAUAUAUAUUCUCCUCCCCACUAUUUUGCACAACCUAGGUAUUGUUCCGCUCACCUAAAGCUAACUUGACCGUCGAAGUGUAUGCGGCCGCCACUACCCCCUGGUUCCGACCAUGUGCAUCUGACCGUGCGUUCACUGUGCGCAGAGAGGAAUACGUGGAGUAGCUAUCGGUUGGCCAUGUGGAGGGUCCAAUUUGCGAGGUCAACAGAUUGGCGCCGUCUGUGGGAAACUUCCCGUCCAAAGUUCUGCAUUCUCCACCAGAGAAACCACCGAAAAACUAGUGGCUUACCCUGAAAAGGGCACGUUCUUGAAAAAGAGCAAAGUCGAGUAAUAAUUCAAGUUCUUAUCACCCUUGAAAAAGAAGAUAAGAUGAGUUACAACCAUGAAGACGAGAACCCUAUGAGAGAGGCCUCUGAAGAAGAGGUGCUCCGUAACAAUGUCACUCACCAGAGACCCCAUCACCGACGUCGUCGAGAUGAAAGAACAGUCAUACUCACUAAAGGAAUGACUCAAAUAGCUGCGGGCAUGAAAGACAUCGCAGCCCAGAAUAUGGCGAUGCAUGAACUUCUCAUGCAAGCCCGAGGUCACCAGGGCUCUCAAAUGCCCCAAGGAUCUUACCCAAUUCAGGAAGCCCCUGCAUCUCGUUCCCGAGACCGCGUGAGCCAGCACAGAAAACACCCCCUUGAAAGAGAAGUGGGUGCGGAAGCCACAUCCAAUGUGUAAGGGAGCUAGCCAGCAGAACCACAAUUGGGGGACAAUUUCCCUCAAUAAUAUAAAGCACAAAGGUUAGUCAGCGUCUUCGAUCGAAUAGGGCAGGACCCUAGUAAUAGGGUCCGCUCAGUGCGAAGAUCAGUUCGACAAGAACAGCAAGAACAAGCACCUCCUCCUCCUAGAAAUAGGAAGAAGAGAAGGGACUUAGUUGAUUGGGCCAGUCGAGGAGAAGCACCUCCACCUCCCCAGAACACUCAAGAUGAUGAAGAGUCAGAUGGGCCUUCUCGAUCCUAUGAAAUUGACGACGACGAUGAUAACCUCCCUUUCUCAAAGGAAAUUCGAUGUUUUCCAAUGCCUGCAAAUUUCAUGCCCCUCAAGAUCCCCAAGUAUGAAGAAAAGGGGGACCCGAAGAAGCACCUCACCAACUACAUGACAUAGAUUAGUCUCAGGGGAGCCUCGCCUACUUUGAAGUGCAGAGCCUUCCACUUAACCCUAGGCGGAGCUGCUGAAGUGUGGUACAGCAGACUUCCUCCCCUGAGCAUUAGGAGCAGGCCGAAUUUGAAGAAGGCAUUCUUGAACCAGUACCUCUCACGCAGAGGAGAGACCCCGGUGCAACCCCUGUAAGAUAUGAGGCAAGCCCCUGGAGAGACGCUGAAAAACUAUCUCGCCAGGUUUACAGACGAAAUCACGUAUUGCAAGCACGUCACUGACAGAGAAGCCCUUUCGGCCUUGAAAGACGGCCUCAACAUGAACACUUUAUUCUGGAGGGAUGUGCGCAGCAAAAAUCCCACCACUUAUGACGAACUGGUAGAAAUGAUGAGAGUUGAGAUCGUCAGUGAAUAGAUGAUUGAUCACUGAAAUCGUGCCGUGCAAGGACUCCCUCCGCCUCAAAGGCAGGUAGGUCGAGGACCCGCAGCACACCUUGUCACUCAACAAUGGACUCAAGCAGGUCAUACAAUAGCUCCCACCUCCGGACAGGCACUGGCUUCCGCCACUCUAAAUACAGUGCCGGUGUUGGCAUACGAGAAUUUCCUUAGCGUAACAGGGCCAUAUGGAAGAACUGAUAGUAAUAAAAAGAAGAAGAAGAAGUGGUCAAACAGGCCCUUGGAAAGGGCAAGGUUUUGCACUUUCUACCAACUCCAUGGGCAUGACACCAACGAGUGCAGAGACGCUCCUCGACGCCCGAAUCGGAGCAACCCACAUCCCUCCAGGAGGAACGAAUAUCCUCAUAGAUCCGCCUCCUCGAAUAGGGGAAAGAGAAGGCAUAGAGAGCAGUGGCAUAGAGAGCAAUCACCUCAGAGAAGAGAAUCAAGGGACCGAGAAGAGUCCAAACAGAGAGAUCAGGCCCCAUUUUCUGGAGGCCAAAUCAUCGGGGAGAUCGACAUGAUCAUUGGGGGACCUCAUAUCGGUGGCAACACCAGGAACACCCAAAGGAAUUACACAAGGGAAGCAAAGGACCCACCAAUGCUCACCUACAUUGUCAACGAGUCCCAAGAGGCCAAUAGGAUGGCCCCAAUCACCUUCUCCCAGAAAGAUACGCAAGGAGUUCACCACUCCCAUUGUGACGCAUUGGUUGUAAGAGCCGUAGUGGCAAGAAACGGGCUCAAACGCAUGCUCGUCGACAAUGGCAGUUCGGUGAAUAUACUGUUCGGCUCCACCUUCGACAAGAUGCAAAUUGAACAUGGGUUGAUCCCCAUGACCGAUCCACUGUUCGGAUUUACUGGAGACAGCAUCAUCCCACGAGGGCGGAUUACUCUGCCUAUCGAGAUGGGUUCAGCUCCUCUAGUGGCCCAACACUUCAUGGAAUUCUUAGUGGUAGACCACAAAUUAGCCUACCAUGGAGUAUUGGGCAGACCCGCCUUAAAAGAUCUUUGGGCUAUCACCUCCAUCCACUACUUGUGCAUGAAAUUCCAAACUGAACAUGGGAUUGCCACGGUACGGUGCGAUCAGAUGGGCUCCAGGACAUAUUACUUAAACUCUCUGCGAAAAUUGGAGCCCGAACUGUUAACGUGAUCAUAACUGAAGUUGUCAGUGAACUCAAUUUGGACGUGAAAAUGCUCGACGCCCCUGAACAAUAGCAUACCUUCGAAAAGGAGGAAGACGUCGACAUGGAAGAGGCCUCUGAAGAAGGGCACCCUCUUGAUGAAUUAGAUCCCCGGAUCAUUGACUCCGAGCUAAAUGCAACUCCAAUGCAAGAACUUGAAACCUUUUUCGCCAACUCAGAGGACCCCAAUCAGGUCCUACGAAUAGGAAAGGCACUGUCCCCCGAAGCAAAAAAAGAAAUGGUGAGCUUCCUGAAAAGGAACUUGGAUGUCUUCGCUUGGAAGCUUGAAGACAUGGUGGGAAUAGAUCCAAGAAUCAGUUGCCAUCAUCUUAACAUCAACUCUUUCGGUGCCCCACAUAGGCAGAAAAGACGUGCUCUCAACCCAAAACGAUAUGAGGCGCUGAAAGACGAAGUACACCAACUUAGCCGCAACAGCUACAUCAGAAAAGCCAUCUAUCCGAAGUGGAUAUCCAACCCGGUCCUUGUGAAGAAGCCCAGCGGAAAGUAGAGGGUGUGCGUAGACUUCACAAAUUUAAAUAAGUCAUGCCCUAAAGACAGUUUCCCACUUCCAAGGAUAGACCAACUUGUGGAUUCCACCGUCGGACAUGAACUCUUGAACUUCGUGGAUGCAUACUCAAGGUAUAACCAGAUACCCAUGUUCCGACCUGAUGAGGAGGCUACAUCAUUCAUCACAGACAGAGGACUGUACUGCUACAAAGUCAUGCCCUUCGGAUUGAAAAAUACUGGAGCUACAUAUCAGCGGUUAGUCAACAUGAUAUUUGCCGAACUCAUUGGCAAAACCAUGAAGGUCUACGUCGACAACAUGCUAGUCAAAAGCCUUCGGGCCAUCGAGCACGUAAGUCAUCUCGACCAAACCUUUCAGAUACUUAGAAAAUAUAAAAUGAAGUUAAAUCCCCUCAAGUGCACCUUUGGAGUAGCUUCGGGUCAAUUUUUGGGAUAUAUUGUAAACCAAAGAGGAAUCGAAGCGAACCCAAUGAAGAUAAUGACCUUGCUUGAAAUAAGAUCACCUCAAAAACCAAAGGAGGUCCAAAACCUCAAUGGUCGGAUAGCCGCAUUCAAUCGCUUCAUCUCCAGAGCUACAGAUAAGAGCUUGCCCUUCUUCAAUGUGCUGAAGCAAGAAAAGAAGUUCCAAUGGACUUUUGAGUGCGAAAAAGCCUUCCAAGCGCAGAGAAGCACUUAGGAGAGGUGCCCCUGCUGUCCAAACCUCAACCAGAAGAAUCACUACUCCUGUACUUGGCGGUCUCAAACGAGGCGGUCAGUGCAGUCCUAGUCAGAGAAGAAAAUGGGCACCAGUUGCCGGUAUACUAUGUCAUUAAAGCACUCCUCCCAGUUGAAACACGCUACCCAAAUAUGGAGAAACUGGCACUUGCCCUCAUCACAACCUCAAGAAAACUGAGGUCAUACUUCCAAGUCCACUCAAUUGAAGUUCUCACCAACUUUCCAUUGAAGCAAGUGCUGCAGAGAACAGACGCAUCAGGACGCCUGCUAAAAUGGACGAUCAAGCUCAGUGAGUUCGACCUCCUAUUCCGACCUCGACAUGCCAUCAAGGAUCAGGCCUUUGUAGAUUUUGUGGCUGAAUUUGCCAAAACCCCAGAAAUGGAGGUAACAAUGGAACCAGCUGAACCCCCAACGUGAAAACUGUUCGUAGAUGGAUCCUCAGGAGAGGCUGGCUCCGGGGCAGGGAUCGUCUUGGAAAGCCCGAAGGCCACAAACUAAAUUGCGCAGUAAGGUUUGACUUCAAAGUCUCGAACAACGCUGCUGAAUAUGAGACCCUUCUAGCAGGCCUUAGACUGGUGAAGGAAAUGCAAGUUAGAAGGCUUCUAACAAGCAGCGAUUCUCAACUUGUAGUGAGUCAGGUCAAUGAAAACUUCGCAGCCAAAGACAGUAGCAUGGUUGCAUACUUGAAAUUGGUUCUGGACCUAGUUCCUCAUUUUGAAAGGUUCGAGCUGAUUCAAGUCCCACGCCUAGAGAAUACUCAUGCAGACGCCCGUCAAAAUUGGCCAGCAGCAAGAAUUCAGAGCUACUAAAGGUUGUCCCCAUUGAACACUUAUUGAAGCCCUCCAUUUCCGGAGGUGAAAAGAUGCUAUGGAUAGAAGGCACCCCGUUAUGGAUGCAACCCAUCAUCGCCUAUCUUAAGAACCAAUCACUACCAGCUUCUAGAAGCGAGGCAAGGAAGUUAAAAAGAAGGACUGCACACUUCGUCCUACAAGAAAAUGUCCUCUACAAAAGAGGCUUCGCCUCGCCACUUCUCCAAUGUGUAGGAGGCGAAGAGGAAUGUAUAUACUCAGGGAAAUCCAUGAGGGAAUCUGUGGGAAUCACUCCGGAGGAACGGCUCUGGCACACAAAAUACUCCGGUAAGGCUACUUUUGGGUGACCCUGAAAAGGGAUGCUUGCCAGUUUGUCCAGAAAUGUGACAAGUGCCAGUUCUUCUCAAAUAUUCAAAGCCAACAUUCUCAGAGCCUCUCCGUAGUGACCAGCCCUUGGCCGUUUGCCAAAUGGGGCAUCGACUUCAUUGGUCCACUCCCAAAAGGAAGAGGAAGCACGACUGUUGCCAUUGUCGCCAUCGACUAUUUUACCAAGUGGAUCAAAGCUGAACCUCUUGCCGAGAUCACUGAGGCAAAUAUUACAAAAUUCGUCUGGAAGAACAUCAUUUACAGGUUCAGCAUUCCCCACUCCUUAGUAUCCGACAGCAGGAACAGUUCGACAACAAAAAAAUGCGAGACUUAUGCGACGAACUGGACAUAAAGAAGGAUUUCUCAACGCCUCAUCACCCACAAGCAAAUGGGCAAGUUGAAGCAAUAAACAAAACAAUCAAGCAUACCCUAAAAAGGAAGCUUGACAUCUCGAAGGGGGCUUGGGUCAAUGAGCUUCCCCACGCCCUCUGGGCCAUUAGAACAACGAGCCGAACUGCAACAGGGGAGACACUAUUCUCAAUGACCUACGGAGCCGAGGCCAUGAGCCGGGUUGAGGUAGGAGUCCUAUUGCACCGUCAAAUACACUUCAAUGAGAUCAAUAACGACGAGACUCGAAUGAACGAAGUUCACCUCCUUGAAAAAAGGAGGGAUGCCUCCCAGGUGAACUUGACAAAGUAUCAUAGAAAGAUGACCCGCUAUUAUAACUUCAAGGUCAGAAAUCGGACUCUUCAUCUGGGGGACCUCGUCCUUAAAAGGGUCUUCCAAUCAUCAAAGCCAACCGGGUCCGGAAUGUUGGGAUCGAACUGGGAGGGUCCUUGCUGCAUCCUUAGGGAAUCCCGACCUAGCACUUUUGAAAUUGAAGACAUGGCAGGGAAAUCACUCCCUCAUCAAUGGAACAUCGAACACUUAAAGAAGUACUAUCAGUGAUGAACUUGUGUUCCGAUCCAAUCUCAAUGUCUAAUGAAUGUGUCAUGAUCCGAUCUCAUUUGUAACUUCCGUAUCUUACUAAGUGCUGAAAAUCCCUUAGUGAAGGGUGAUGUAACUUCUCUAAGUAAUGAUACUUUAGUUCUUUGUCACAUCGGUUAGUAAAUUGUUACCUCAACUCUUCAAUAUGUUAAUUAGUCCGAUCUUUUGUUAUUAACCGAUUAUUGGUAAAUGGCGCAUCAUGUUUACUUAAGUGAUUGUCAUUCAUAUACUCAAAUGUAAACGGUUCAACACAAUAGAAAAGUAGAAACAACAAUACUUAACAAAAAAAAUUCCUUUCAUUCAUUUGGAAUUGGAUUACAAAAGAGGUCGAAGCCAUUACAAAAAUUAAUUUAACUCUAUUCUACUGGGGUCUGAUCUCUCUGUCCGAUUUCUGACCUUGGAGUUAUAAUACGAGGUGUCCGAAGUGGUUCCGAAGUAACGCGACCACCAAUGUUGUCGAUCUGCUAAUGCACUACGAGGUACAGACAAUCUACUGAAUCGAUCGAAGCGUCCUAGCCCCUAAAGUUGAGGCGCACUACAUUUCGAGGCUCUCUGUCAGAGGAUCUGCCGUCAAUUUCAGAAAAAGAUCUAUGUCAAGAUCCUUUCUGCCCCCAAGGUUUAAUUGAUUUGACAUCUCCAUGAGCCUAGUUGAUGUGAUGUAUCAACUUUAUGUCAACUCAACUCAGGAGAAGUAAUUACCCGCCCACUCUAUAGACGCGACUGAUUGACGCCUAUGAGCAAACGCCUCACACCGUCAGAUGCAUACACGUGUCCCACAUCCAACGGUUCUCCUCACCUAUAAAUACCCAAGGUUUGACAAGAGGCAAAGGUAAUGAAACUCUUACAACAUAUCUUUCCAUAACAAGCAAAUAUAUAUUCUCAUCCCCACUAUUUUGCACAAUUUAGGUAUUGUUCCGAUCACCUGAGACUAACUUGACCGUCGGAAUGUAUGUGGUCGCCACCACCCUCGCUGGUUCCGGUCGUGUGCAUCUGACCGUGCGUUGACUGAGCGCAGAGAGAAAUACGUGGAGUAGCUAUCGGUUGACCACAUGGAGGAUCCAAUUUGCGAGAUCAACAAAUACUAUUCCCAAUAAAAACAUUAUCUUCUGUGUGAAAAGCCCCUGCUACAAUCUACUCCAAACUGAAACAACCUAAUCCAAAUGGAAUGGGGGCAAUCACAACAACUAGCAAUAGGAUCUUCAAGAUGAAGUACAGAAGCUCCCAACUGCAAGAGCUCAUAUGAAGCCCCGUAAGACAGUCGAUGUGAGUUAUAAAAUGCAGUAGAAACAUGUGUCGUAUUAUUAGUAGAGAACUACACAAAAGAUGCCAAAGUAUUUAGACAAUAACAGGUGGAUUGGCCAAAUUACAAACCAUGUGCCCAAAUGCAGAAACUGUGAAGCAGCUUUAGGAAGGAGCAAACCUUGGAAACAAGACAUGCUUGCAUAAAAUAUAACAUCCCAAAGAAAAAUCUUAUGAUAAUCCAGCUGAAAAAAACUCAUCGCUCAUAAAUUUAAAGCUAAAUAUUAAAAAGCAUGAGUAAAGAUAUAUCCAAAUUAACCACAAGUACUAUCAUAGCAAACCUAUCACUUACGAUUUACAGCUAAAUCUUAAAAAGUGAUCAACAAAAUGGGAUUAUUUUAUUUUUUUAGAGAUUACUAAUGGAAAAAAAAAAUCAAUUCCAUGAUAGAUGACCAAAAAGCUAACAGACAAAGACUAAUUGUCAUAAAGCAAUGGUGCAACAUUAGCCAAAAAAGAAAAAAAGAAAUGCAUGGUAGGCAGCCAGAAAANAGACAAAGACUAAUUGUCAUAAAGCAAUGGUGCAACAUUAGCCAAAAAAGAAAAAAAGAAAUGCAUGGUAGGCAGCCAGAAAAUUAAAUGCUAAAAAUAGCAAUUAGGAAUCAAUUUACACAUAACUUGAUUCUCUCCAAAGUUCAAAAUUUUGUAGUUAAUGAAACUUGAAUUCUAGAGUUAAAAGAGCAACUUUAAUUGUUUUCUGUGGACAUACGAGGGUGAGAUAGGGAACAAAUGGACACAAAUUUAUAUUCCAGUGAUGUUUAAAUUUAUGUAGUGAAUAACAGUUAUCAGGUAAUUUAGAAAGCAGGAAGAGUUUAGACAAAAAUGACUAUGAAAGUUGGAGUGCUGGUCCCUUUGUCAGUUUACCACAGAUGGCUCAAUACGUGGAGCUCAUAUAUGAUACAUUCUUCUGUCCGUUGAUAUAAAAGAUUAUGAAUGAUCCAAUAACAAUAGAAAGUGGAGUAACAUAUAAGAGGACAACAAUUCUCAAAUGGUUUGUUAAGUUUGAGAAUACUGAGGAAAUUGUCUGUCCAAAAUGAGGAUUGAACCUAAAGAGCACAAAUUCGAUUGUUGGCGUAGCUCUAAAGGCAAUAAUUGAUGAGUGGAAGGAAAGAAAUGAUGCUGCAAGCAUUAAAGUUACUCUGGAAACUUUAUGGUUGGAUAGUGUUGGAAUGAUCCUAAACCAGAUCCAGUGUGAAAAUAAGUUGAUGGGAUUUUUUUUUCUUUUGCUUGUGUAUUUAAGUGAUUAUCAUUGAAGUAUUUUUUGUUUUAUGUCAAAAUUUAUUGAAUCCGUGAUUCUGUUUUAAAUAAAUUAGUUUAUUGUUAUUAAUGGCAUUAGUCAUUUAUUUUUUAUAAUCCCAUAUAAUUUUCCUUUAUGUUUCAUACUUGAAACACUUAACUAAGUUUUAGCAGCACUGCAGAACUUAAGCCCUCGGGCAUCAUAAAGAUGAUGCAUAUUAAGGUAAGGAGUGAAACCAAUUUCGUGUUUUUACUCUUUCAUAGAAGAAGAUAGUGCUGAAACGAUUUAAUUCAAGCAUCAAAGUUGAGGUAAAACAUGUAAUCAUAGAAUUGAUAAAAAUAUGAAGCACCAGUAUAGGCAAAACCUGCUUUCCUGAGUCCCUCUAAGUGCAAUCAAAUAGCAUUAAGAUCUUUUGCAAGCCCAAGAGAUGCCUG